GAGUUUGAUCAUGGCUCAGAAUCAACGCUGGCGGCGUGCCUAACACAUGCAAGUCGAACGCGAAAGUCCCGCAAGGNAUCAGUAGAGUGGCAAACGGGUGAGUAACACGUGGGUGACCUGCCUUCGAGUGGGGGAUAACGUCCCGAAAGGGUCGCUAAUACCGCAUGACAUCCUGCCUUUGAAGAGGUGGAGAUCAAAGCUGGGGAUCGCAAGACCUAGCGCUUGGAGAGGGGCCCGCGUCUGAUUAGCUAGUUGGUGGGGUAACGGCUCACCAAGGCUACGAUCAGUAUCCGGCCUGAGAGGGCGGACGGACACACUGGGACUGAGACACGGCCCAGACUCCUACGGGAGGCAGCAGUGGGGAAUUGUUCGCAAUGGGCGCAAGCCUGACGACGCAACGCCGCGUGGAGGAUGAAGACCUUCGGGUCGUAAACUCCUUUCGAUCGAGACGAAUGGUCUCCGGGUGAACAAUCCGGGGAAGUGACGGUACCGAGAGAAGAAGCCCCGGCUAACUCCGUGCCAGCAGCCGCGGUAAUACGGGGGGGGCAAGCGUUGUUCGGAAUUACUGGGCGUAAAGGGCUCGUAGG
rnacentral:rRNA from 1 species